GGGGUUGUGGCUCAGUGGUAGAGCAGUCACCUAACAUGUGUGAGGCCUUGGGUUCAAUCCUCAUCACCACA
rnacentral:tRNA from 1 species